GACAGAGGUCCCGAGCGUUAGGCGGAAUCACUGGGCUUAAAGCGUGUGUAGGCAGAUCGUUAAGUACCUUGUGAAAUCCCACGGCUUAACCGUGGAACUGCUUGGUAUACUGGCGAUCUUGAGCCACUUAGGGGCUACCGGAACAAAUGGUGGAGCGGUGAAAUGCGUAGAUAUCAUUUGGAACGCCAAUGGUGAAAACAGGUAGCUGGGAGUGUGCUGACGCUGAGACACGAAAGCCAGGGGAGCAAACGGG
rnacentral:rRNA from 1 species